rnacentral:rRNA from 1 species
UAAGUAAUGUGAAUUGCAGAAUUCAGUGAAUCAUCGAAUCUUUGAACGCACAUUGCGCCCGCCAGUAUUCUGGCGGGCAUGCCUGUUCGAGCGUCAUUU